UGAGCAAUCUGCCCUUCUCUUUGGAAUAAGCGCGGGAAACUGCGUCUAAUGCCGAAUAUGACUUCGAAAGGCAUCUUUUGAAGUGGAAAGUUCCGGCGGAGAAGGAUGAGCUCGCGGCCUAUCAGCUAGUUGGUGAGGUAAUGGCUCACCAAGGCAAUGACGGGUAGCCGGCCUGAGAGGGUGACCGGCCACACUGGGACUGAGACACGGCCCAGACUCCUACGGGAGGCAGCAGUGGGGAAUAUUGGACAAUGGGCGAAAGCCUGAUCCAGCAACGCCGCGUGAGGGAUGACGGCCUUCGGGUUGUAAACCUCUUUCAGCUCCGACGAAGCGAAAGUGACGGUAGGUGCAGAAGAAGGACCGGCCAACUACGUGCCAGCAGCCGCGGUAAUACGUAGGGUCCGAGCGUUGUCCGGAAUUAUUGGGCGUAAAGGGCUCGUANGCGGUUUGUCACGUCGGGAGUGAAAACUCAGGGCUUAACCCUGAGCGUGCUUCCGAUACGGGCAGACUAGAGGUAUGCAGGGGAGAACGGAAUUCCUGGUGUANCGGUGGAAUGCGCAGAUAUC
rnacentral:rRNA from 1 species